UGUAAACGUGCACGCUUUAAACUCUGCACGGCUUGAGGAGGUCACGCAGCGCUGCGUGUCCAACAGCCAAGCGUCUCACAGCGCGGGGAAAGCCUCUGACUCAGCAGGGUCUUCCCUCAGACACCGGGACCCGUCCUGGGAGGCCACCUAAGCGCCAGCCCCUUCGGUUGGUGACAAACAGUAUGGGGAAGGGCAGGAGCUGAUAAUUUUCUGAAAGUGAUGAAAGCCGUCCAUCCGCAGAUCAGGAAGGGCUCUGCAGCCCAAGAGGAAACGCGCAAAAAACGCUGGAUCCGCGCUCCUCUUAAGGGAGCCGGGAAACCACAGAAAAGGGAAAACCUUACAUUCGCUGGAGGAAAAGAGACCUAUUACCUCGACGUGCAAAACGGGAAGAGCGAGCGCUGACUUUUCAACAGGAGAGCCGACGCCAAGAGACAGCGGAGCGAAAACUUCGUGAGUAACUGGCAACCUACGAUCUAAAUCCAGCAAAACGAAGGUCAAAUAAAGACGUUUUGGAGAAACCAACUCUGAGAACGUUUGUCUCCGCUGAGCCUCACUUCAGGAAGCAUUCAGCGGUGUCCUUCAAGCGGGAGGAGAAUGACCCAGAACAGGCCAGAGUACAGGAAGGAGGGAGAUGAACAGAGAGGGUGUGUUGUAUGGAACCCCCACAAAGGAGGACUUGUGCAACAGUCACGUCUUCAACUGUCUGUAGAGAAUUAGAAGGUGACAACAACAGCACAGAAGUCAUGAGGGGCAUAAGUGGAGUGUGGUUGGCUGGCCCCCGACGGAGUCCACUGUCCUAGUCCCCAGGACCUGUGACCGUGACCUUACCUGGUGAAAGGACUUAGAGGUGUGAUUAAGUUAAGGAUGUUGAGAUGGGAGAUGAUCCUGGAUUAUCCCAGUCGGCCCCCCCAAAUGCUAUCACAGUGUCCUGUGGGGGAGGCAGAGGGAGAGCUGACAUGGAGGAGGCCACGUGCUCACCUUGGAAGAGAGAGAGGUUUGAAGAUUGUUCUAAAAUUUGUACUUGGCAUUGGCUUCGAUCAGAUAUGCCCAAUGUGCAGACACGGAAAUCCUUGCCACGAGGGAAGAAGGUCGUGCUCAUAGAUCCCUAGGAACAGGAGGCAGGCUCCCCAUGCAAGGCCACACGGGGAGCCCAAGGCGCGUCAGGAAGGGCCUCACAUAGGAGUCUUUAUGACAGGCAGGACACACCCGCUUCCGAUGUAGGAAAGGGCGAUGGGAGAGCUCUCCUCAUUGGUGUGAGGCGUGAGUGGGCCAAAGGUCCUUUAGUUAAGGGUGUGGAAGGCCGGACAAGACACAGGCUCAUCUAGGGUCUGUUUGCUGAACUGGAAUUUGACAGAAGUUGGUUAAGAAGAGCAUCAAGUCUCUCAGUUAAAUGGGCUCUCUGGGACCUCACAGGGACAUGGCAGUUCUCUCUGUAUUUUAACAAGUGACAUGUGUGUCUUGGUCACUGUUAUAAUGUCUGUAACUCCAAAGGGAGUAGGUGUGUCCUGGCCAGGCCUUGGAUUGUGGCCUUAGUAUGUGUGCAGACAUGCUGAUUUUAAUUUAUAUUUUGCAUUCUGUGAGACAAGAGACUCAUAGGGUUCCAUCCACUGAAGGGGACGAUUUUUAGUCAAUGGCCCGAUUGUGUAUGAUCACUAUGCGGAGGAGCCAUCGUUGUUCAGGGCAUCCACUGCUACGACAACAGAUGCAGUUUGGCCAAGUGUCUUGACCCCUGGGUCCGUCUGUCAUCAGGGACGUCCCAAUUGAGGAAGGGCAAGCAGCAGCACUCCACCGAGCUCUGUCACGCUGGUGGCUGGCAGUGCCACUUGCAUAGUCCACGAACUCCCACUGCUGUUUGCUUGGUUACUCCCAAGGGGCUCCAGGUAGCCAAGGGGUCUGGGGGAAGAACGUGGUGCCACUAGAACCCAAAAAGGACUAAAAGGGGUUGGACCUGUGUGUCCGUAAUGAGUGUGUCACGUGAGUCUCCUUGGAGAAGGCUGUCAUCAGUGUAAGGCCACACCCGUGCUCGUGGAGAGAGGUGGCUGCAGCCGAGCUCUUGUCUGCAGAGGUCGUGUGCGCUGGAAAGCUGAGGGACCCAUGGGCAGCCUGAGAAGGCGCAUGGUGUCCCUUCGAGGUGGAGGCAACUGCAGCUGAGAGGCUGGCGACGUGGGCCCUGGACUGAGCAUGCUAGCUCACCUACCCGAGCAUGACAUGCUCCAGCAGUCGGCUGGGCAGAGCCACAAUUCAGUGACAUCGGGUAUUGAGGGUGGAGGCCCUACAGACGGGACCCUGCUCCAAGGCUGUGGGAAUCCACCUUGGGGUGCCCUCAGUUCUUCCAGUAAAAGAAUAGGCAAAAGUGGGCGCUUUUUUCUCCCUUACCUUGGUUUUCUUUCUUCCUCUUCUCCCCGCUCUUUUUUCUUUUCUGUUUUCGGCUCCAUUUAUCUCUGGCUGAGAAGUGUGGGCUGCGGCUGCCUCUCCCUGGGAUGUCGACCAUCAGUGGCAGCAUCGGUCCUUCUCAUAACAAAAUCCAGUUUUCUCUCUUAAAUCAGACCUGGCUGCAUCUCUAGGCAGGCGAGAACUUUUCUGUUUCCCCCUGAUUGUACUCUUGAAGGCUUGGUGUUUGGGCUAUGGCCCUGGGGACAUGGCCCUGCCCAGGACUCGUGGAUUCCUGGAGGCGCUGAGACAUGAGAGAGGGCCUUCAACGACAGAUGAACUACCAGAGCCCACACCCCAUGGGCUCCCAUCUCCUUCUCCCACACCAAGCAAAUACUCCCCCUGCCCCAAGCCGCCCCUGCCAGGUAUUGGCCAACCAGGGGCCGCCCCCAUAGCCCAGACCUGCAGAAAGCGUUCAAAACAGCCAGUGCUAACUUUCUGUGUGUACCUUUGCUGCCUUGCACGUUCUUCCCUCUGGAGACCCCAGUAAGGCUCUGAGCCACGUUCUCUUCAUGGCUGCCUGUCUCCUGGCUCAAACUGGUGUCUCCCGUGUUGCCCUGUGUGGUGUACUCUUUCUCUUGGGAAAUAUAAGUAAUAGAUUCUUCUUUCAAAGGCAGUUGCCUCUGUUUCUGUUACCUUCCCAUAUCUGAUUAAAACAAAUCCUGGGUGCAAAUUUUAGGAUAAAUGCUGUGUUGCUUUGACAAUGGAGGAAGGGGCCGCAAGCACAGGGAUGCAGGGAUGGCGGCUCCAGAAGCUGGAAAAGGCCGGCAGUCGGCCACUGGAGGGAAAGGUCCUGCCUGCACCUAGGACACAUGUGGGGGCCUCGGCUCUCCUAGAUUGCAACCAUAUGGCCAGAGCAGCGGGGACAGCGUGGCAGUGGGCACAGAAGGACAAAGGCCCCCCAGGGACACAGCGCGGCACACAUGGCAGGGUCUGUAGGGUCAUAGAGUUUUGUAAAACCUGAUAAACUGAGGUGCUGUGACCACAGCGGUUCCCACGCCGUCUCGGGCUCCCAGUCGUGCUUCCCCUCUUGCUGGAGAGGUGGGGGCACUUUUGGGAUCUGGCCCGGGGUAAGUUGAGUUGUGGAAAUGUCAGCUGGGGUUCAGUGGAGUGUAUUUAUGUCGUCCCCGUCACUUCCCUGCAUAAUGAAGUUGAUGCCGGACAUCCUGGAGUAGAGAACAGCUUCCAGGAGCUCCGGUGGCAACACACCAGGAGGAGUGAGUCACUGGACCCUGAGAAAGGCACUGAGCACCCGCUGACUUCACAGGAAAUGCUGACGUUGACGAGGUCACGCAGAGUCCCGACAGCCAAGGUGACGAGGACAUCAUGGGGAAGGCUCAUCAGAUCAGCAGCCACGUUCCAGACCAGUCACAGCGCAGGGAACGUGCGCUGCCCAGAACUUCCCUGCUUUCAGAUGAAAGAAGCAGAGAAAGUCUCUCAAACUUCGGCAGCAGUCCUAUCGAUAGCCCCAAUGGCCUCCGGUUGCCCCAAACCUGGACGGGCUCAGCCCCACACUUACCUGGUCAGUGUGCUGGGUCACCAGACCACAGUUGGACCCCACCUCACACCGCCUGCCGGAGCAGGCCUGCUGGCUGGGAGAUGUAAAUGUGAAAGCCAGCAACUCCAGCAUCCUCACCGCCUCUGCCCAGGCAGGUGCCUGGACAGCACCCCAAGCCCUUGCCAGAAAGGACAAGGCAGAUCACUGGAAAAGGUGGAAACUAAGAAGGCCUGUUCACCAAAAGCCAGCAUGGAAAGGGUGGCAGGGCCGCCCGCUGUGGAGGAGGCUGUGUGCUCUGUGGUGCAGACACAGUGGAUCCCCCAUAAUUGCAAAUUCACCCCCUCCCUGGGGUUUGUCUGUGGCCCCACAAUCCACGCUCACGGUGCUUCCGUGGUCUUUUGGGGACCCGCACGCUCCCGACUGAGGUGGACGGGACGACGCUCUGCCUUCUGGUUUCAGCUCACGUGUCAACAAGUGUCCUUUCCCGCCUGUUUAGUGCCACGUUUUCCACACCUUUGUGCUUUUUGUUGGUGAAGACGGCCCGAGGCCUGGAGCUGGAGUUCCGCCUGGUGUUCUAAGUGCAGGAGGCCGGACGGGCCUGACGGAGACGAUCCCGCAUCACGUGGGCUCCUGCAGGCCGAGGGCAGUCUGCCGCGGGCUCAACGUUCACGCAUCAGCCACGUGCGUGAAGUGCGGUGUCUUUCAGCAGAAGCACACGCGGAACGAGGCUCUGCCCACCCGCUGAGGAAACCUGCGGCCGCACCUCGCGGAAGCUGGCGCUGAUUUCCCCAGGAGCAGGGCUUCGCGAUCCCUCACUCAGUAAUUCCGUGUUUGCGGUGACUUUAUGGAGCAAAGCAACCGCGAAUAGCGAGAAUGGACUGUAACUGGCGAAAGAAUCACCUCCAGAAUGCACGAUGAGCUCCUGCAAACCGGUGAGAAGGAGACACCCCACGGCACACAGUCACGACAUUGGACAGAGGCUCCGAAGAAGAGCUGCAGGUGGCAGGGGACUCUGACGGGGUGCAGGCCUCCCUCACCACAGAGCAAAUGCCCACCACACAGACACCUCUGCACCCACCAGAAAGCCCGAAAUCACAAAACUGUUAGUGUCCAAGGUUGACAAAAACGCCUGAAGAGGAACGUCUCCUGCGCUGCUGGUGGAAGCACUGCAAGUGGACGAACGAGAAGGCCUCCAGGAAGAAGGAACACCUGCAGGACGUUCAUCAUCGUAGACAGAAGAAAAGAACAAUGAGGGACCCUGGAGUCCGUCACGCCCGAAGGCCGACAUCUCCACACCCCUCCUCACUACCCAUUUUCCCUAUAACUGCCUCGAGGUUCCGUAAUUCUUUGAGAUGGUUUUUUGAGACAUUAGUCUGCCAUCUUCCGGUUAUACUGGCUAAUCAAAUAAAGGCUUC